GGGAGUGGCAAACGGCUGAGUAACGCGUAGGAACCUACCCCAAACUCGAGUAUAGCCCCGCGAAAGCGGGGGUAAUCCUCGAUAGCCCGUGAAGUAUUUUACUUCACGGUAAAGCUUUUGCGGUUUGGGAUGGGCCUGCGUCCUAUCAGGUAGUUGGUGAGGUAAAUGCUCACCAAGCCUAUGACGGGUAGCUGGUCUGAGAGGAUGGUCAGCCAGACUGGGACUGCGACACGGCCCAGACUCCUACGGGAGGCAGCAACUAGGAAUUGUGCGCAAUGGACGAAAGUCUGACGCCGCGACAUCGCGUGGAGGAUGAAGGUCUUCGGAUUGUAAACUCCUUUUCUUACCGAACAAGUUCUGAGUGUAGGUAAGGAAUAAGUGCCUGCUAACCACGUGCCAGAAGCAUCGGUAAUACGUGGGGCACGAGCGUUAUCCGGAUUUACUGGGCGUAAAGAGAAGCGUAGGCGGCUCAAUAAGUUUGGUGUUAAAUCUUCCGGCUCAACCGGAAACAAGCACCGAAAACUAUCGAGAUUGAGUCGAGUAGGGAAGAGGGGAAUUCCUGGUGGAGCGGUUAAAUGCGUAGAUAUCAGGAGGAAUACCAAGGGCGAAGGCACCUCUUUGGACUCGUACUGACGCUGAGGCUCGAAAGCGUGGGUAGCAAAACGGAUUAGAUACCCGUGUAGUCCACGCCGUAAACGAUCCCUGUUAGAUGUAUGUUUUGUCUGUUUAUUUUUCCUUCGGGAAGGGUAAAGGGCAAGAUGUGUGUCGUAGUUAACGCGUUAAACAGGGCGCCUGGGAAGUACGGCCGCAAGGCUAAAACCCAAAGGAAUUGACGGGGACCCGCACAAGCAGUGGAGCGCCUGGUUUAAUUCGAUGGUCAGCGAAGAACCUCACCUAGGCUUGAACUGUAGCUGCACACUCCCAGAAACGGGAGAAUCCUUCGAGGGUGCUACAGAGGUGCUGCAUGGCUGUCGUCAGCUCGUGUCGUGAGAUGUAGGGUUAAGUCCCACAACGAGCGCAACCCCUAUUCAGUGUUAUAAUUACUCUGAAGACUGCCCUGUCCAAACGGGGAGGAAGGAGGGGACGACGUCCAGUCAUCAUGUCCCUUAUGUCUAGGGCUACACAGACGCUAC
rnacentral:rRNA from 1 species